rnacentral:rRNA from 1 species
ACUAAUACCGCAUAAGACCACGGGAUCACAUGGUUCUGGGGUAAAAGAUUUAUCGGUUUGGGGUGGGCUCGCGUCCGAUUAGGUAGUUGGUGAGGUAACGGCCCACCAAGCCGACGAUCGGUAGCCGACCUGAGAGGGUGAUCGGCCACAUUGGGACUGAGACACGGCCCAAACUCCUACGGGAGGCAGCAGUGGGAAUAUUGGGCAAUGGAGGAAACUCUGACCCAGCAACGCCGCGUGGAGGAAGAAGGUUUUCGGAUCGUAAACUCCUGUCCUUGGAGACGAGUAGAAGACGGUAUCCAAGGAGGAAGCCCCGGCUAACUACGUGCCAGCAGCCGCGGUAAUACGUAGGGGGCAAGCGUUGUCCGGAAUAAUUGGGCGUAAAGGGCGCGUAGGCGGCUCGGUAAGUCUGGAGUGAAAGUCCUGCUUUUAAGGUGGGAAUUGCUUUGGAUACUGUCGGGCUUGAGUGCAGGAGAGGUUAGUGGAAUUCCCAGUGUAGCGGUGAAAUGCGUAGAGAUUGGGAGGAACACCAGUGGCGAAGGCGACUAACUGGACUGUAACUGACGCUGAGGCGCGAAAGUGUGGGGAGCAAACAGGAUUAGAUACCCUGGUAGUCCACACUGUAAACGAUGAAUGCUAGGUGUAGGGGGUAUCGACCCCUUCUGUGCCGCAGUCAACACAAUAAGCAUUCCGCCUGGGGAGUACGGCCGCAAGGUUGAAACUCAAAGGAAUUGACGGGGGCCCGCACAAGCAGCGGAGCAUGUGGUUUAAUUCGACGCAACGCGAAGAACCUUACCAGGUCUUGACAUCCACUUAAACUUACAGAGAUGUAAGGUGUGCUUGCACAAAGUGAGACAGGUGGUGCAUGGUUGUCGUCAGCUCGUGUCGUGAGAUGUUGGGUUAAGUCCCGCAACGAGCGCAACCCUUAUCUUCAGUUACUAACGCGUGAGGGUGAGGACUCUGAAGAGACUGCCGGGGACAACUCGGAGGAAGGUGGGGACGACGUCAAAUCAUCAUGCCCCUUAUGACCUGGGCUACACACGUGCUACAAUGGCCACGACAGAGAGAAGCGAAAUCGCAAGGUAGAGCGGAACUCAAAAAAGUGGUCCCAGUUCGGAUUGUGGGCUGCAACCCGCCCACAUGAAGUCGGAGUUGCUAGUAAUCACGGAUCAGCAUGCCGCGGUGAAUACGUUCCCGGGCCUUGUACACACCGCCCGUCACACCAUGGGAGUUGGGAGUGCCCAAAGCCGGUGAGGCAACCGCAAGGAGCCAGCCGUCUAAGGCAAGACCAAUGACUGGGGUGAAGUCGUAACAAGGUA